ACCAGGGUGGCUUAGUGGGUUGAGUGUUGGACUGCGACUCUGGAGGCCAGGGUUCAAUUCCCAACGCGGCUA